CUGAAGACGAACAAGGGGCAGGUGCAAUCAAUAGCAAGAGAAACCAGGUGUGAAUGAAGCUGCUGAACAGCCACAAACACCACAAAAGGGAGCGAUGGAAUUUGCCAGGACAAAAUGUCGCCAAAGUCUGGGUAUACACUGGACAGAGUUCUCAGAAGACCAGCAGCAUUCAGCGCUCAAGCUCAAACUGCCCCACUACAUCGCAGGGUUCAAUAAUUCACAGCUCAUGAAUCAUGUUCUCACACUGGAUGACCCGAUGCUUGGAUGCGACCUACCUGCUCUCCCUGUAUGUGUGUUUAUGACACACAUGUUUGAGACACCUUGAAUUCAGGACUAGAAAAAAGAAGAAGAAAUGAGGAAAAGUCGGGAGACAUCAAUGCUCAAGGAGAACAAACAUAAUUCCUUGCCUUUGUACCGACUCCAUGCUCCAAUGCUGACCUGAAGGAGAUGCCAUGUAAUGUCAUUAUUUUGGGGAAAUAAAGACAUUACACCCUAA